CAGCAGCCGCGGUAAUACGAAGGGUGCAAGCGUUAAUCGGAACUACUGGGCGUAAAGCGUGCGUAGGCGGUUUGUUAAGUCUGUUGUGAAAUCCCCGGGCUCAACCUGGGAAUGGCAAUGGAUACUGGCAAGCUAGAGUGUGUCAGAGGAUGGUGGAAUUCCCGGUGUAGCGGUGAAAUGCGUAGAGAUCGGGAGGAACAUCAGUGGCGAAGGCGGCCAUCUGGGACAACACUGACGCUGAGGCACGAAAGCGUGGGGAGCAAACAGGAUUAGAUACCCCCGUAGUCCCUGUCUCUUAUAC
rnacentral:rRNA from 1 species